rnacentral:rRNA from 1 species
AUCUAUUUAAUUCUGGUUGUGGGAGACUAGGAAUAUUAUUUUACAUAGGGUUGUUGUUUGAGUAGUUUAUGGAAUACGUUUGGUUCCAUUUUCCUAGUAUGGGAGGCUUAUUGUUUGAGGUAACUCAGAUUAGGUUAUUCUUGGGGGAGCGGUCAAUACACAGUGCCAGCAUCCGCGGUUAUUCUGUGGCUUAGGUCUCUGAAUCGGUUUAAAGGCUGUUUGAGUGAGUAUGAGAGUUGAGGUGAAAUUUGUAUCUUAGUUGAAAUUAGCUCAAAGGUGGUGUUAUAAGUUUCAGUUAAAGAAAAGGAUUAGGUACCCUUGUAUUUGAAAAUGAAUUUUGUGUCCUUGAUGUUAAUUAAAAGGGUUUGGCAGCUGGCGAUGUUCCUCCGGGGGAGUGUGUGUGUGAAUAGAUGGUCCGCUUAUUAUCUCACCAUUUUUUUAUAGUUAGUGUACAUCCGGAUUAAUAUCUUUGAUUAAUGUUGAUGGUGUAAUUAAUAAUUGAAGCCAGGUCAAUGUGCUGCUUGUGAAAUGGGUUGUAUGCACUACAUUAUAAAGUCAAGAUUUGUAAUAAAAUUGGAUUCAGGACUCGGAAGUAGGUGGAGUUUAGAUUGCUCUAUCGAAGUGUGAUUUAGCUGGGGUACACACCGCCCGUCACCCAUGGCGUAAGUUGUGGUAAGUCGUAACAUGGUAAUGCUGGGGGAACCGGGCGUUAGUUGGUGGGGAGUGUAUUUUCUUUAUCGUAAAGCUUA